rnacentral:rRNA from 1 species
GGGUUGUGAGGUUAAGCGACUAAGCGUACACGGUGGAUGCCCUGGCAGUCAGAGGCGAUGAAGGGCGUGCUAAUCUGCGAUAAGCGCCGGUAAGGUGAUAUGAACCGUUAUAACCGGCGAUUUCCGAAUGGGGAAACCCAGUGUGACUCGUCACACUAUCAUUAACUGAAUCCAUAGGUUAAUGAGGCGAACCGGGGGAACUGAAACAUCUAAGUACCCCGAGGAAAAGAAAUCAACCGAGAUUCCCCCAGUAGCGGCGAGCGAACGGGGAGGAGCCCAGAGCCUGAAUCAGCAUGUGUGUUAGUGGAAGCGUCUGGAAAGGCGCGCGAUACAGGGUGACAGCCCCGUACACAAAAGCGCAUGUGCUGUGAGCUCGAUGAGUAGGGCGGGACACGUGGUAUCCUGUCUGAAUAUGGGGGGACCAUCCUCCAAGGCUAAAUACUCCUGACUGACCGAUAGUGAACCAGUACCGUGAGGGAAAGGCGAAAAGAACCCCGGCGAGGGGAGUGAAAAAGAACCUGAAACCGUGUACGUACAAGCAGUGGGAGCNNGGGCGUUAAGUUGCAGGGUAUAGACCCGAAACCCGGUGAUCUAGCCAUGGGCAGGUUGAAGGUUGGGUAACACUAACUGGAGGACCGAACCGACUAAUGUUGAAAAAUUAGCGGAUGACCUGUGGCUGGGGGUGAAAGGCCAAUCAAACCGGGAGAUAGCUGGUUCUCCCCGAAAGCUAUUUAGGUAGCGCCUCGUGAAUUCAUCUCCGGGGGUAGAGCACUGUUUCGGCUAGGGGGCCAUCCCGGCUUACCAACCCGAUGCAAACUGCGAAUACCGGAGAAUGUUAUCACGGGAGACACACGGCGGGUGCUAACGUCCGUCGUGAAGAGGGAAACAACCCAGACCGCCAGCUAAGGUCCCAAAGUCAUGGUUAAGUGGGAAACGAUGUGGGAAGGCCCAGACAGCCAGGAUGUUGGCUUAGAAGCAGCCAUCAUUUAAAGAAAGCGUAAUAGCUCACUGGUCGAGUCGGCCUGCGCGGAAGAUGUAACGGGGCUAAACCAUGCACCGAAGCUGCGGCAGCGANNUGCUGGAGGUAUCAGAAGUGCGAAUGCUGACAUAAGUAACGAUAAAGCGGGUGAAAAGCCCGCUCGCCGGAAGACCAAGGGUUCCUGUCCAACGUUAAUCGGGGCAGGGUGAGUCGACCCCUAAGGCGAGGCCGAAAGGCGUAGUCGAUGGGAAACGGGUUAAUAUUCCCGUACUUGGUGUUACUGCGAAGGGGGGACGGAGAAGGCUAUGUUGGCCGGGCGACGGUUGUCCCGGUUUAAGCGUGUAGGUGUGUGUUCCAGGUAAAUCCGGUUCACUUUAACACUGAGGCGUGACGACGAGGCACUACGGUGCUGAAGCAACAAAUGCCCUGCUUCCAGGAAAAGCCUCUAAGCAUCAGGUAACAUCAAAUCGUACCCCAAACCGACACAGGUGGUCAGGUAGAGAAUACCAAGGCGCUUGAGAGAACUCGGGUGAAGGAACUAGGCAAAAUGGUGCCGUAACUUCGGGAGAAGGCACGCUGACAUGUAGGUGAAGUGAUUUACUCAUGGAGCUGAAGUCAGUCGAAGAUACCAGCUGGCUGCAACUGUUUAUUAAAAACACAGCACUGUGCAAACACGAAAGUGGACGUAUACGGUGUGACGCCUGCCCGGUGCCGGAAGGUUAAUUGAUGGGGUCAGCGCAAGCGAAGCUCCUGAUCGAAGCCCCGGUAAACGGCGGCCGUAACUAUAACGGUCCUAAGGUAGCGAAAUUCCUUGUCGGGUAAGUUCCGACCUGCACGAAUGGCGUAAUGAUGGCCAGGCUGUCUCCACCCGAGACUCAGUGAAAUUGAACUCGCUGUGAAGAUGCAGUGUACCCGCGGCAAGACGGAAAGACCCCGUGAACCUUUACUAUAGCUUGACACUGAACAUUGAGCCUUGAUGUGUAGGAUAGGUGGGAGGCUUUGAAGUGUGGACGCCAGUCUGCAUGGAGCCGACCUUGAAAUACCACCCUUUAAUGUUUGAUGUUCUAACGUGGACCCGUUAUCCGGGUUGCGGACAGUGUCUGGUGGGUAGUUUGACUGGGGCGGUCUCCUCCUAAAGAGUAACGGAGGAGCACGAAGGUUGGCUAAUCCUGGUCGGACAUCAGGAGGUUAGUGCAAUGGCAUAAGCCAGCUUGACUGCGAGCGUGACGGCGCGAGCAGGUGCGAAAGCAGGUCAUAGUGAUCCGGUGGUUCUGAAUGGAAGGGCCAUCGCUCAACGGAUAAAAGGUACUCCGGGGAUAACAGGCUGAUACCGCCCAAGAGUUCAUAUCGACGGCGGUGUUUGGCACCUCGAUGUCGGCUCAUCACAUCCUGGGGCUGAAGUAGGUCCCAAGGGUAUGGCUGUUCGCCAUUUAAAGUGGUACGCGAGCUGGGUUUAGAACGUCGUGAGACAGUUCGGUCCCUAUCUGCCGUGGGCGCUGGAGAA